UAUAAUAAUGAAUACCAUGAAGUGUUACUUUAUAAAAGUAAAAAAAUAUUGGGUUAAUUUCAUACAGGUACCCACAAAUAUAGUGAAUAGCAGAUAUAUCUCUGCAAAGUUCAACUUUCAUAAGUUAUUUCUGUAAAAGUUCUAAUUAAUGCAGAUAUGUCCUUACAGUUAAUAUCCGUUAGAAAAAUCUAAUUAACUAUAAUUAAAAUACUUAACCAUGGUCAGUUAAUACGGUAAAAUGAUAUUUUUACCCUUCUUCUUCUUCCUUUUCUUCUUCGUAUCCUUGUUUUCCUCCUCCUUUUCUUCUCCUUCUUCUUCUUCAACGUCAUUGUUGAUGAUUCGAUCGGCGUCCCCGUCGU
rnacentral:lncRNA from 1 species